AGUUUCAACAACGGAUCUCUUGGCGCUCUCGGCAUCGAUGAAGAACGCAGGACGAAAUGCGAUAAGUAAUGGGUUGAAUUUGCAGAAUUCAGUGAAUCAUCGAAUCUUUGAACGCACCUUGCGCUCCUUGGUAUUCCUUGGAGCCGCAAGUGCCUUUCAAGUUUUGAGUAUC
rnacentral:rRNA from 1 species